ACUCUUAAUUUAAAAGACAGUAGUUAAACUCUACUAUUAAGGA
rnacentral:tRNA from 1 species